rnacentral:rRNA from 1 species
CUCUCGUCACGGGGAGGUAGUGACGAAAAAUAACGAUACGGGACUCAUCCGAGGCCCCGUAAUCGGAAUGAGUAUACUCUAAAUCCUUAUACGAGUAUCAAUUGGAGGGCAAGUCUGGUGCCAGCAGCCGCGGUAAUUCCAGCUCCAAUAGCGUAUAUUAAAGUUGUUGCGGUUAAAAAGCUCGUAGUUGGAUCUGUGUCCCGCACCGACGGUUCGCCGCCUGUCGGUGUUCAACCGCCGUGUACGCGGGACGUCCUGCCGGUGGCGGUCCGGCUCUAAGUCGGCACGUAGGGGUCGUCCUUGCUAUGCUUGCGUCGUCCCCGAAGGCCUUCGCGGAUCCGGCCGCCUUUUACAUCCCGUCGCGGUGCUCUUCACCGAGUGUCGAGGCGGGCCGGCACGUUUACUUUGAACAAAUUAGAGUGCUUUAAGCAGGCCCUGUCCCGCCUGUAUGUUGUGUGCAUGGAAUAAUGGAAUAGGACCUCGGUUCUAUUUUGUUGGUUUUCGGAAUCUGAGGUAAUGAUCAAUGGGGACAGGCGGGGGCAUUCGUAUUGCGACGUUAGAGGUGAAAUUCUUGGAUCGUCGCAAGACGGACCGAAGCGAAAGCAUUUGCCAAGUAUGUUCUCGUCGAUCAAGAACGAAAGUUAGAGGUUCGAAGGCGAUCAGAUACCGCCCUAGUUCUAACCAUAAACUAUGCCUGCCAGCGAUCCGCCGAAGUUCCUCCGAUGACUCGGCGGGCAGCUUCCGGGAAACCAGAGCUUUUGGGUUCCGGGGGAAGUAUGGUUGCAAAGCUGAAACUUAAAGGAAUUGACGGAAGGGCACCACCAGGAGUGGAGCCUGCGGCUUAAUUUGACUCAACACGGGAAAACUCACCAGGCCCGGACACCGGAAGGAUUGACAGAUUGAGAGCUCUUUCUUGAUUCGGUGGGUGGUGGUGCAUGGCCGUUCUUAGUUGGUGGAGCGAUUUGUCUGGUUAAUUCCGAUAACGAACGAGACUCUAGCCUACUAACUAGGCGUACCCGGUAUCCACAAUCGUGCUACCGGCGAUCAAAUUUCUUCUUAGAGGGACAGGCGGCUUCUAGCCGCACGAGACUGAGCAAUAACAGGUCUGUGAUGCCCUUAGAUGUCCUGGGCCGCACGCGCGCUACACUGAAGGAAUCAGCGUGUCUUCCCUGUCCGAAAGGACCGGGUAACCCGCUGAACCUCCUUUGUGCUAGGGAUUGGGGCUUGCAAUUGUUCCCCAUGAACGAGGAAUUCCCAGUAAGCGCGAGUCAUAAGCUCGCGUUGAUUACGUCCCUGCCCUUGUACACACCG